rnacentral:rRNA from 1 species
UGGAAAGUCCGACCACAGAAGGUGAUAGUCCUGUAUACGAAAACUUGAAUCCUGUAUCAGCGUUCCAGAGUAGCACGGAACUCGUGGAACUCCGUGUGAAGCAGGGGGGCCCACCCUCCAAGGCUAAGUACUACUCGACGACCGAUAGUGAAAAGUAGCGUGAGCAAACGAUGAAAAGUACCCCUAUUAGGGGAGUUAAAAGUACCUGAAACCAUACACCUACAAGCUGUAGGAGCCCUAUGACCAGUCUUCGGGCUGGUAACGGGUGACUGCGUGCCUUUCGCAUAAUGAGCCGGCGAGUUACCGUUUGUGGCAAGGUUAACCCCUUAAGGGGGGUAGCCGUAGCGAAAGCGAGUCUUAAUAGGGCGAUUUAGUCGCAGGUGGUAGACGCGAAACCAGGUGAUCUACCCAUGGCCAGGUUGAAGGGGAUGUAAAAGUCCCUGGAGGACCGAACGCACUAACGUUGAAAAGUUAGGCGAUGAGCUGUGGGGAGGAGUAAAAGUCUAAUCAAACCUGGAGAUAUCUCGUUCUCUCCGAAAUAGCUUUAGGGCUAGCCUUGAGGCAACUACUUUACGGGGGUAGAGCUACUGAAUGGGGAUGAGGGGCCACCAGCCUACUUACCCCAACCAAACUCCGAAUACCGUAAAGACUAUCUCAGGAGUCAGACUGUGGGGGAUAACCUCCAUGGUCAAGAGGGAAACAACCCAGACCGCCAGCUAAGGUCCCGAAGUUCUGCUAAGUUCUUAAGGAAGUU